rnacentral:rRNA from 1 species
CCUCCAGACUCCUACGGGAGGCAGCAGUGAGGAAUAUUGGUCAAUGGGCGCGAGCCUGAACCAGCCAAGUCGCGUGAGGGAUGACGGCCUUACGGGUUGUAAACCUCUUUUGUCGGGGAGCAAAUUCCGCCACGUGUGGCGGAGUCGAGAGUACCCGAAGAAAAAGCAUCGGCUAACUCCGUGCCAGCAGCCGCGGUAAUACGGAGGAUGCGAGCGUUAUCCGGAUUUAUUGGGUUUAAAGGGUGCGUAGGCGGAAUGCCAAGUCAGCGGUAAAAUCGCGGGGCUCAACCUCGCUCCGCCGUUGAAACUGGGUGCCUUGAGUGGGCGAGAAGUACGCGGAAUGCGUGGUGUAGCGGUGAAAUGCAUAGAUAUCACGCAGAACUCCGAUUGCGAAGGCAGCGUACCGGCGCCCAACUGACGCUGAAGCACGAAGGCGUGGGUAUCGAACAGGAUUAGAUACCCGUGUAAGC